rnacentral:tRNA from 1 species
GGUAUCGUAGUGUAGCGGUUAACACGCCUGCCUGUCACGCAGGAGAUCGCGGGUUCGAUUCCCGUCGAGACCGCCA